ensembl:lncRNA
AUAAAAUUCAACAAGUUCUUAAACUGUUCUAAGAACUGUUUGUAGAUAAAGCAUAGUAGAUAAAGAUAGGUGGGAAGAAACCUGAAGGAAAAUGAAAAAAUGAUAACAUUUGGAAGUCUCAAGGGAAGAAUAGAGAACAAUAAAACAACGUACUUCAAGAAACUCAGUGCAGGUCUGAAUCACUUCAGAGUGUGAGAGCUGAACAAUAAAUAAUGUGGGCAACAGAAUUUUUAUGCUUGGUGUUCUUCUUUCUCUUUUUAAGUUUAAGUUGACUUAUCCUGUUGAAAUGUACUCUACAUGACUUGGAGCAGGCUGAGGCAACUGCAGAUUCUAAACAGUAAUCUUUUAUAAUUCAUGCAAGACAGUAAGACACCAGAAGAUCAGGAAGAGUAUGUCUUUCAACAGGAUAAAGGAACUGUAAGAGGUCAUUCUUUUACGCCGUUGCCUCAAAGCUUGCUGAGGGACACAGAUGAACAAAUUCAAGCAAGUCCUGACCAAGGAUUAAGAAAACCUUCGUCUGAAGGGACAACAGAUGGACAACGCCUGGGGCAACGAGAGAGAUUCCACACGACCUGCCUCUCCCUCCCGGACUCGCUCUGUGCUCUACCUGCUUGCUGCCUAAGGAUGGCCUCUCUGCUGCUGCUCACCCCUCCGAGAAGGUGUCUGCCAUCAGAUCCCUCACUACAAAAGGCCUGCAUGCUGACUGACUCUCCAGGGCCUGCUACCGGAGACCUGCUGCUUCCGCCCAGACUUCUUCCUGGACCUACUCGGUACCUGCCUGCACCUUCUCGCUGCCUAAGACCGGCCACACCGCUGCUGCUCUUCCCCUGCGCUUUUGCCCCGGACCAUCGGAACGUCGUGCAACGGGACUACUGCCGGAUCCUGGUGUUACAGAUCCUGGAUCGCUUUAAAAUGGAAAAGCCUCAAGCAGCGUUCAGCAACGUUCUCUCUCUUUUAUUAUUUACUGGAAUGGUCACUGUGAGAUCACUGCCUUUGAAGAAGAGUUAGAGAAAAUCCUGCUUUAAAACCAAAGGAAAUCCAGAUUAAACAGGAGAAUGUGGAGGAAGCACAAUGACAGCACAUGAAAUGUAAGAGAAGAGUGCUGAAGACCCUGCAAUCACUCUGGAAGAGACUUCCGUAUCUGCUUCUGCAGACUGUCUGGGACCGUUAAAUGACCAAAUAUUUAUCUGUGGUUGAAAAAAUGACAUAUUUCUUCUUGUUUGCUAUCUGGCCAUGUUGUUUGUACAAGCACCCUCAGAGGUGUGCAGAAGUAUACAUACAGCUGCAAGGAUAUCACUGAAAGGUAAACAGACAUUUGAAGAACUUACAAUCAAAUGCUUAACCUGGUGUAACAGUGACGCCAUCGUCUUCAUGCAUGUUAACAAAUCUCAAAUCAAGAGAUUUGAUUUUGAUUGUUUUGCUCAUGAUUGCAGCUGGAAAGAAGCACUAGUGUCUGCAAGAUAAAGAGAGCAAUCAAGUUCCACUUCUAGGUCCUAGGAUGAAAAAAAAAAAGGCUCCUUCAAAGGAGGAAGCCUAUAACUGAUAUACCACUCUGUCUCCUGAGCAUGACAGUGAAAAAGAAAGGAUUUCAUUGCACCAAGAAGAGGACAACUCCUUCUGAAACUGUUAUCCUCAGAUGGGAACUACUGUGCAAAAAUUCAUCACAUUAUUUGAAAACGACUUGCACAAGUGUAUGCCCUGAAGCAAAACAUGAAUAUAUGUAUGCUACACAUAAUUGGCAUGGUAAUAUUAUCCACUGAAAUAUCUAGGUCUCUACAUCAAGCUAAACAUCACAGAGCUAUAAUAAACAAGUAAAUAAAGAAGUGGUGAUUAGCAAACUGGAUUUAUGUUCUUAAGUACCUGAUGUGCUGUAAGUCAGUUCAUACUCACAUCCUAAAGCAGUUUGUGAAAUGUAUAUCUAUUUAAAUGACAUUUACAAAACCUGUUUAUGCUUUCAACAUGAUAAAUUCAUCUUCAAUUACUUGGAAAAAUAGGGCGAGUAUUUAUAACCUGUUGUUCUUUUUUCAUAAAAGAAAAACCCAUGCCCAGGCAUUCCUAGUAUUUCUUACUUACAGUAUGACAUCCACAGUGUUCAUCAGAGUACAGUGCAGUGCUGUGCACCUGUAGGAACUGUUGCUUAAUUUCACAGCUUAGGUGCCCAAAUUAAAUUGCACUGAUUACCUCUUCGACUCCUAUAUUAAAAAUUACCUUUGGUGGUUUUAAUAUAGAUACUCAGGAAGGUUUAAAUUUUAAAUGGAUGACCAUGGGUUAAGCUUUAUUCCCUGUCUUAUUAGGAAUUAUACUAAAAAAGCUCUAACAGACUCCCCGUGUAUUUGCAAAAAUCUUUCUGGUGACACCUUAUGACAUCUUGUCAAAAUCCUCACUUUAUUCUUGCUAGUUUUACAUUAAGUUGCUGCCUGCUGGAAAUAAGUUUUAUCACAGCAGGAGCCUAAACCAACAUUUAUUUCAGAAAUCCCAAGAAAACAUUCAGAACUAUCACAGUUAUAGAAAUAUGUGCCCCACAUCUUCUGUGGGUGGAUAGAUACAUGCCUGCAUCCGGAAGGCUGGAAACAGGUUUCAGCCCCUGACUGCGGAUGGCUCUGCUCAGAAAGCUCAACUACAACAGUCUGCAGCCAUCUGCUUGUUGCAAUCAGAUCCACUUCAAAGUGUCACAAUCUGACCUUUGUUAUGGCAACAAUAACUUGCAACGGAUGCUCAAGCCAGCUGGUCUGCAGAGAUCCUAGAUCGCCUCAGUGAGUUUAGAAUGACCUUUUGCAGUGCAGACACCAGAAGUCAAAGAGGUGAGCUAUCAUGUUAUCACAGAGAUCUCAGCAUGCUCUAAGGAGCUUUUUUUAGCCUAGGACUGAAAAAAGGGACUCCCUUUAGUGAAUCCUUGAGUCAGCUUUUUACUUCUGUGGUAGAGCCCAAAUGCAUUCUCCUUUCUCAGUUUAAACUUCACAUUUAAUAGAAAUUGUUUUUAUAACAAACAUUUAUGUAAAACCUCUUCAAUAAACUAGGUAGGGCUUCCUGUUAUUCUUUCACUGCUGCUUAGAUUUGUGGUGCUACUCUGAGGUGUUUGUAUUAUUGCUGUAAAGA